UUCUGAAAUGUCUCCCAAAAA
rnacentral:piRNA from 1 species